AAUAUGUCAUCUAGCGAUCCGCCGACGUUACUACAAUGGCUCGGCGGGCAGCUUCCGGGAAACCAAAGAUUUUGGACUCCGGGGGGAGUAUGGUUGCAAAGCUGAAACUUAAAGGAAUUGACGGAAGGGCACCACCAGGAGUGGAGCCUGCGGCUUAAUUUGACUCAACACGGGAAAUCUCACCAGGCCCGGACACCGGAAGGAUUGACAGAUUAACAGCUCUUUCUUGAUUCGGUGGGUGGUGGUGCAUGGCCGUUCUUAGUUGGUGGAGCGAUUUGUCUGGUUAAUUCCGGUAACGAACGAGACUCUAGCCUGCUAAAUAGGCGUCGUCAUUUAGGUGUGCGUGGCUCCGUCACGCAACUCACUGGCGACGUAUUAAAAUUCUUCUUAGAGGGACCGGCGGCUUCGAGCCGCACGAGAUUGAGCAAUAACAGGUCUGUGAUGCCCUUAGAUGUCCUGGGCCGCACGCGCGCUACACUGAAGGAAUCAGCAUGUUCUCCCUGGCCUAGAGGCCCGGGCAACCCGCUGAAACUCCUUCGUGCUGGGGAUUGGGGUUUGCAAUUAUCCCCCAUAAACGAGGAAUUCCUAGUAAGCGCGAGUCAUAAGCUCGCGUUGAUUACGUCCCUGCCCUUUGUACACACCGCCCGUCGCUACUACCGAUUGAAUGAUUUAGUGAGGUCUUCGGACCGACACGCGGUGGCUUCACGGCCGUCGGCGUUGCUGGGAAGUUGACCAAACUUGAUCAUUUAGAGGAAGUAAAAGUCGUAACAAGG
rnacentral:rRNA from 1 species